ensembl:snRNA U6 U6 spliceosomal RNA
GUGCUUGCUUCAUCAGCACAUAUAUAAAAUUGGAAUGACACAGAGAAGAUUAGCAUGGCCCCUGAGUAAGGAUGACACGCAAAUUCGUGAAGUGUUCCAUAUUUUU